AUUGAACGCUGGCGGCAGGCCUAACACAUGCAAGUCGAGCGGAGCGGCGGACGGGUGAGUAAUGCCUAGGAAUCUGCCUGGUAGUGGGGGAUAACGUCCGGAAACGGGCGCUAAUACCGCAUACUAUCAGAUGAGCCUAGGUCGGAUUCGCUAGUUGGUGGGGUAAAGGCCUACCAAGGCGACGAUCCGUAACUGGUCUGAGAGGAUGAUCAGGCAAAUUGGAACUGAGAAACGGUCCAGACUCCUACGGGAGGCAGCAGUGGGGAAUAUUGGACAUGGGGCGAAAGCCUGAUCCAUCCAUGCCGCGGGGGUGAAGAAGGUCUUCGGAUUGUAAAGCACUUAAAGUUGGGAGGCGUUACCAAAAGAAUAAGCACCGGCUAACUUCGUGCCAGCAGCCGCGGUAAUUC
rnacentral:rRNA from 1 species